GGUCUAGGCCCGGUGAGAGACUC
rnacentral:miRNA from 1 species